rnacentral:rRNA from 1 species
AACGAACGCUGGCGGCAGGCUUAACACAUGCAAGUCGAACGCAUCCUUCGGGAUGAGUGGCAGACGGGUGAGUAACGCGUGGGAACGUGCCCUUUUAGUUUGGAAUAACCCAGGGAAACUUGGGCUAAUACCGGAUACGCCCGAAAGGGGAAAGAUUUAUCGCUGAAGGAGCGGCCCGCGUCUGAUUAGCUAGUUGGUGAGGUAAUGGCUCACCAAGGCGACGAUCAGUAGCUGGUCNGAGAGGAUGAUCAGCCACACUGGGACUGAGACACGGCCCAGACUCCUACGGGAGGCAGCAGGU